rnacentral:rRNA from 1 species
GCCUACGGCCAUACCACCCUGAAAGCGCCCGAUCUCGUCUGAUCUCGGAAGCUAAGCAGGACGGCUGG